CUAUCUACAAUUUGUAAGUCGCACUGGAUAAGAGCGUCUGCUAAAUGACUUAAA
rfam:Salmo salar isolate Sally breed double haploid chromosome ssa22, whole genome shotgun sequence.